ensembl:lncRNA
AAAGCCUACAUCAGCCAAACACUAGCAUAUAGCAAGAUACAAUUCUUUAACCUUUUCAUAUGUGAGUUCCAAACAUCUCUAACGAUCGCCCCAGCGAGAGUUUUUUAUGCACCUGAUGUCAGAAUGCGCUCACUGUAACAAAAUGUAAUUGUUACGCAACAGGACAGUUAAUCCUCAAACCAAGACAUUUAUGCAUCUCUAGUCAGAACAGGACCUUCACACACGUGUUCACAUUUUCCCUUUGGUGCCGGCAUCGCAUUCAUUGUUGUUUUCAUUACUACAUGGUAAUAACUUUGGACAUGUGUGCGUUUCUUUCAAUAAACCACAAACUGUAUUUGCCAAUAUCAUAACUGGAGCUGGACAUCUUUCGAGCUGAGGCCAGCUUUUGUAUGCCAGUGUACACUCCUUAACAGUUUUACUGGGUGAAAACACA